AGCGGGGUAGGGCAGCUAGGAGUGCCCGUCGGGCUCAUAACCCGGAGGUCGGAGGUUCAAAUCCUCUCCCCGCUA
rnacentral:tRNA from 1 species